CAGAAAGAUGGCAAAAACUGCAACAAAGUGAGAGAAGAGCAACAAACACAAUGCCAACUACAACUGAAGAAGCUGAUUUUGAAGGAGAGGAAGAUAUGAAGGGUGAAGAGGACAAGCUGGAGGGAAGUUCUUGUAGAAGUCUCAAGGUCUUUUUAACCCUCAAAUGAGGUCACUUAAAUGUCUAGCUUCCUGAGUGUGCCUACAGCUUACAGUCCAAGGAGACCAAUGCCAAGCCCUUUGUCUACUGUUUAAUUCAGCAGGUUGAUACACGCAAACAAAGCCAGUUGAAGUCUAGUGGAUGCCAUCAAGCUUUCACUGAAAUGCAAAGUGAAACUUACUGUUGCUUCUUUACAGGGUGGAAAGUUGACCUAGGUCUGCUGGAAACCAUGUGUGCCAUUCUGACAAUAUUCUGUUACAUCUUGGAAAAAACUCACUGAUUUAAAUUAAAUUUCGCUGAAUUAAAUUCAGCAUCUUUGGAGUUCACUGUAUUGAAAAUGCAAAUAUUUAUGUACUGUUGAGAGAUUGCAUGGAAUUUAUUUAGCAGGAAGACAAGAUUAAUGUAAUCUCUCUAAGGUAUGAGGAAUGUCAAAGGUUUUAUUAGAACAAUAUGUAUGAAGUGGAUUUCCAUAGGAAACACCUUGUGGUGAGAGGAAUG